AAAUGUCAUGGCUAUGAAAUAUUAAAUUUGGAGGUGCUUUGGGUUGCAAAGCUCAUACAUUUAACACAGAUCCGGACAUUUUAGGUCCCCACUAUAACCAUGCCCAUCCCCCACUCUGCUUGCACAUGUGAAAGCAUGCUGUUAGCUAACUGCUGGCUAUUGAAACGGAGGCGUUGAAUUUAUCCACCCCUUCAGUAUUGGCCAGGCUUCCAUGAACACAUAAAGCUAUAAAACCAUUACAGGAACAUCUGUCUGUCAACAGUAGUCUCCCUAAUUAGUUUCACCUACAAUAAUGAUUAGGUUUCUUCCUGCACAAUCAAAAAGGUAUGUGAAAAAGAAUUUAAGUGAGACUGCCACGCUGGUGUGCGCUCGAGUUUAGAUCGAGCGCUCCCUUUCAACAUGAACAACUGCAGAGCGGUAGCAGUGGCAGACCCACGCUGUGCCUCACGAAGAGUAGACAUGCGGCGGAGAACCAAGUAAAAUGGAGAAUGAGCAGAGUUCCGGAUCUGAUGACGAAUCUAAAUGUGAAGGGAGAGCUGCGGCUCAUGAAGUGCAGCGUGCCUACUUGGAUGAGUCUGUGUCUCCCAGGUCAGAUACUGAAGUUUCUCCAAGCAAAAUAUUGAACCCCGGAUGGCCUCCCAACCUACUCCUCACUUGAAGACAGUCAUCACAUUCAGCGUUUGAAGAAACUGACAGCUCAUCAUGGCAAAUGUGAGCGCAGUUUUGAGAAGGCUUAUGCAAUGCAGACAAAGGAGGAGCAGGACAGAACAUUAACGUUGCAUCAUCAACUGAACAUGAAGGGUCAUCAUCUGAAAGUGAAGAUACCAUCACCCUUAAUGAAACUCCACCUGAUGUGAUCCAAGAUGACAGCGUUCCUAUGCUCACAAGAACCCAAAGUGUAAUUGUAAGUUUGUCUUCAAAUGUUAAUGUAUAAUCUCAAUUAGGGUUGUCACGGUGUGAAAAUUGAACCUCACGGUUAUUGUGACCAAAAUUAUCACGGUUUUCGGUAUUAUCGCAGUAUUUUUUUAAACAUGUUACAUUUUCAGACAACUAAAUAAACCCUGUAUAUCAGGAAAAUAUUGUCCUCAGUUUGUGUCUAUAUGUUGCCUAAAAUUUGUUAUUUUGUAAUUAUGUUGUUUAUUUGUUUACAUUUUUCCCCUUUAGUCUUUAAAAUACCAAUAGUUGCCCAUAACUUUUUAUUUUUUGUCUGUUGGAUGUCAUCAUUUUAAAAAUAUUAGAUCAGAUGAUACUCAGUACUCAAGUAGCCUUCUAAUCAGAUUCUCCAAUAGCAUAUUUACCUUUAUCUAACGUAUUAAUUAUUCCAUCGGUUGCUUCCAUUAUUGCAAGUGCUGUUGUCCUCUUUUCUCUGAAUCCGUACUGACCAUGCUCUAGUAUUUCGUGUUUAUUUAAAACAUUUUCUAGUCUGAUAUUAAAUAGUUUUUCCAGGAUUUUUGAAAAUUGAGGAAGAAGUGAUACUGACCUGUAGUUGUUAAAUAGAUGUUUAUUCCCUUGCUUAAAAAUUGGUAUUACUUUAGCUACUUUCAUUUUCUGAGGAAAUAAACCAGUAGGGAGGAUAAGUUAAAUAUAAAAGUUAAUGUUUUAGAAUAACAUCAAUAACUCUUUUAAACAACACCAUAUCAAUACCGUCUCAAUCAGUGGAGACUUUGUUGUUACAUUUAUCAACAACUGAUUUAACUUCCAACUCAUCCACUGCUGAGAGGAAGAUUGAGUCAGGGUAGUUUUUUUUUUUAAUUUUUUUAUCAGUGGUUCACUUAUUGUCUGUCUUUUUUGGCUUGGUAUAUUUGCUGCUAGCUCUGGGCCUACAUUCACAAAAUAUUCAUUCAUUCUAUUAACUACUUUUAUUUUAUCAUAAAUAUCACUUUGAUUAUCAGUAAAGUAUUCAGGGUAUACCAUUUUCUUUUUCCCACCAUUACUUAAUUUGUUUAGUACGGUAUAUCUCAGACACCUUUUAAGUUAUUCUUAUUUUCAUUUAGGAUUUUUCUGUAAUAUAUCUUUAUACUAGUUCUUAUUAUUUCAGUUAAUUUACUUUUGUAAACUUUAUAUCUGAUUUCAGCUUCCUUAGUUCAUAGUUUAAUAAAAUUCCUAUAAAGACUUGUUUUUCUUUUUACAAGCAUUUUGGAAUUCUUUAGUUAGCCAUGGGAGAUUUUUAUACUUAUGACUUCCAUUAAUGACCUUGACUGGACAAUUCUUAUUGUAAAGUGUCUUAAAUAUGUCAAUAAAUGUACUAUAUGCCAUAUCAACGUCAUCUUCCCUAUAGACUACAUCCCAGUCUUGGGAC